CUAAGGCUGGACCAGGGCUGCCUGGGACACUCGAUUCAGUGUGCGCCUCGUCUUCUCGGUGCUGGAAGCUUCUUAGUGGUGGAGAGACCCCUGAGGUCUGCACAGCACUGCACCCAGGGCAACUCCCCCGCGCCUCCCCCACGGCUGGGCCGGCCCACUGGUUCCCAUCCUCAUGGGUCUCGCUGCUUGACUGGCUCAGCGUGGGCUACCUGGUGGAUGGAAAACUGGAGCCAGGAGACCUGGUUCUGGUCUCAGCUCUGCCACGUUCUAGCUCUGGAACCUGGGGGAGUUCUCCCUGAGGAGCCCCCUUUUCCUCGCAGAGAUGUCGGCCUGGCCUGGGCUCCCAGAACAACGAUGGGGGCCCCUUUGCACUGGCCUGGAGGGAGCACAGACGCACGGCAGGAGGUCCAGCGCCAAAGGAGAACACCCACGGCUGAGCGCUUUCAAGCCAAGACCCUUGAUGCGGCCCAGGAGCCCAGGAGUCCUGGACCGGCUCUCACAAUUUUCCGUUGUGAAGUCUUCCCAUGGCGACUGGCCUCCCCCUCUCUGCUGUCUAACACCUGCAGCCUCGGUGUCUCCCGGGCCGAUGCUCAAAGUUUCCACUUUAGUAUCCAGUUGCCCUGGUCUGGCCUAAGGCACAUCCCCAAGCAAGGCCACCACGCUUCCAAGGCUUCCCCUGCCGUCACCGCACGCCCUCCGUGGGGCCGUGUGAUCCUCUGUGCCUUGCUUGCCCCAUCUGUAAAACUGGCCCCCAGCUCACGGGGCUGGACGGUGACACACAGAGCCACCCGGCACAGUCGGUGCUCAGGCAGCUUCACGCUGUGAUCCCCCUCCAGCCGCUCCUCCCUCUCGCUCGGCCGCCUGGAGCUGGCCCCUCCCCGCACCUGCUCCCGCCCUGCGCCCCCGG
ensembl:lncRNA